CAGGUUGAAAGCAUGACGGAAUGAGAGACAGUGUGUGAAAAUGAUCUUGUAAAGACUUUGAUGCAAUGAUGAUGUCAUCAAGGAAACAGAAUACACUUUUACAGAUGAAACCUGAGAGAACAGAAUUCAUCAAUCUCUGAAACGUUAAAGGCGAGUCACGUAGACCUUGAGCCAUGCGUUUGAACAUGAAUUGGCCAGAGGAGAUAGUGAAAGCAGUAUAUGGCCAUGAAGUUUCCUCUAAUUCAACUUGGAAGAAUCCUGAGUGUAAUUCUAGGAUGGAAAAUACCACAUUUGAAUCACCGAGAGACUGAAGAUCACCUAACUUUACAUACAACACCCACAUGACUUUAAAAUCUCAUGUGAACGGCACCAUCUAGCAGACAAGUGAUUUGCCGAAGUAAAAUUACAGAAGUCCAUGAGACUUACCGUAGGUUAGUUGAAAUGUGCUUUGGAUUUUGCGAGGCACAUCAUGUCUGCUAGAUGGUAGAGUUCACAUGGCCUCCACUCCCUCCCUUUGUUAAUUGAUGAUUCUUGGUUUACACAACAAAAAUUCACUGACUGGAAGGGUUGGGAGAUAAUAUUUCAUGUGGGUAGUUGUAUCUUUAAAGACUGACUGUGUGGCGAAGUGUAGUGUAUCUCAUGUGAACUCUACCAUCUAGCAGACGUGAUGUGCCUCGCAAAAUCCGAAGCACAUUUCAACUAACCUACGUUGGCACUGUAGAAUAGUGAAGGAGUCAUGUUAAGAAAAGCUCAGCGCUUAUGGUCACGGUUGUUUGGCCGUUACCUGUGGAUAACUAACACUGUGACUUCUGGUGGUAUGUUGGCUUUUGGGGAUGCCAUUCAACAGCAGCUAGAGCAUGUCAGGGGUGUAGGCACCAAACAUAAUUAUGAUGUUGAAAGGACUGGCAGAUUAUUUCUGGUUGGGGUGAGUCAGGGACCCCCACACCAUAUCUUCUACAUCUGGCUUGACAAGGUGCUGCCACAGAAGACUGGGAAAGUGAUUUUUAAAAAGAUCAUGGCAGACCAGUUCCUUGCAGCACCUUUCUUUGCCGUGACUUUCUUCAUUGUAGCUGGACUGCUUGAAGGACACACAUUAGCUGAAUCCUGGAAGGAAUUUAAGAAGAAAUUUCCUGCAGUUUAUGUUUUUGACUGGUUUCUCUGGCCGCCAUCACAGGCCAUCAACUUUUACUUGGUGCCAGCUCCCUACCGAGUGCUCUACAUAAAUGUUGUUACAGUGAUCUGGGAUGUCUUUCUCUCUUAUAUGAAGCACAAGGACCAGGUGACUGAAAUCACAAAAAAUGGAUUUUGACACAAGAACAGUUAAUGAUAGAAUCAUGGUGGAAAAGCUGAUAAUUUUACUCAGCAGUGUCCAAACUCAAGUAUGGAGCAAACAAGAAAGUCAGAAUAGAAGAAAAUUAUGUCAAAAUUAGUGAGAAGUUGAAAGAUAAAGAUCUGGUGGUGGAGAACCUUUUGGAUGAACUACAGCAAAAGGCGAAACAAAAGUUGGAUGGUGGAGGGUUCAAAAACUUCCUCUCAUAUAUCAAAAAGAACCUGAAAUUGUAGCAUGAGCAGAACCACUCCCUUCAGCAAAUGUAACAGGCAGUAACUUCUACAUCUGUGCAUCAGCAUUGUGACACUAACUAACUAUUUCAGUUACUGUAAAGUCAUGCCACCAAAUUAAUUGAUUAUGUACUUUCUCAGUAGAAAAAUUGUUAUCUUUGGAGCUUAAAGAGUAUAGCUGAAAAGUUAUUCAAUAUCAAUUUGGAUAGAUUUUUAAAGUUUGCUAUAAUGAGAAGCAGUGUGGACUAUUUCUUUCUGACCACUUGAUCAGAAAUAGCAUUACGAUAUCAGGUAUCAAGUGUGACAGUCCUCAGCCUGCAGUAAUAAUGAAUUUGCUUCACUUCACGACAGUUUUUAUUUGUUUGCAUUUAAUAUCAGACCUGGUGGCUAAUUAGUGGGAAAAAUGUGAUGUGUGGCCUUUUUGUCUUAUGGCAGAUUUUUGUAUGAAUAAAAAAUUAUAUUUUUUUAUUAUUGCAGUGUUUUGUCAUUUUAUAAUAUAGACAUAGUUAAAAUGCUAAACUUAAGUAUUUAGAAUGUUACUUUAUUAUUCAAAAAUUUUCUGUACACAUAUCCGCUAACUAGAAUAUCACAUUGCAGUGAACAAUAAACAAAAACAAAUUUUCUAAAUACAGUGAAAAUUAGAUAAGUAUGAAAACUGACUAUUUCUUAAAAAAAAGCCUUAUUAGUGACCAAAACACGGAACUGUCAACUGAACUUGCUCUAGAAAUAGCUUAAUAUAUGUCUUAAUCAACAUGCAUUGUUUUAUAUAUAUAUAUAUAUAUAUAUAUAUAUAUAUAUAUAUAUAUAUAUAUAUAUAUAUAUAUAUAUAUAUAUAUAUAUAUAUAUAUAUAUAUAUAUAUCCAAAUAAAAUUGGAUGUGUCUAAAGUAAUCUUUCCAUGGCAGAGCUUCAAGUAUGAAAAAACAUGUGCCAACAUGUGGCAGUAACUGCUUGAGUUGGUAGAGCAAUGUAGAGACUACUAACAUAUGUUAGUGGAGGUGUGCCAGCAUGCAUGCAGUUCUGCCAAACCUUAACUUGGCUGAGGUUACAACUAUGAGUGGUGUGAAAUUAAUUAUUUCAAUGUAAACAUGUUUGUGUGCUGCUGUCAUGCAGUUUUGAGGACAUUAAAUAUUGGCUAUCCAUUAAAAGAACAUACAUGUUUAUUUAGUCAAAUUUGCAAUAAAAACUAAGCACAAUAUUAUUUUUAAGUACAAUUCUUAUGUGGAUUUUCUGUUACUUAUAAAAUUUAUGAAACUUUUUGAGAGUUGCAUAUUGUAAUGCAUUAAUAUAUAUUAGUCAUAUAAUAAAACUAAAGAGAUGAAGGUGAAACACAAAUAUUCAUCAAAUAAUCCAAUAAUUGUUACAUGAAUAUUAUGAAACUACAUGUUUGCUUUGUUGAUACUAAUGAAAUUUUAUUCAUGGAUUCUAAUUACUAACAUUCUACAUAAUACUCAACAUCCCAUAUACUACAAUAACAAAUACACAAUAUAUGUUAUAUUUACUGGUAUUAUGGUCAACUAGUUUACAUUCCUGCAGAUCUGCCACACUAGUCUAGAUGUCACUUUCUUUAUCUCCUUCCUAGCAAUUCUUCUCUUCAUAACCUCUCAUUCUCCUCUGGCUCAAAUACCCAUGAUAAAUAUUAUUACCUCUUCUACCAUCUCAUUCAUCAGGCAGUCAAAAUGCACUUUCCACACAUCUUCCUUAGUGCCUACAAGAACUCCAUCUCUCUUUUCUCACACUUCCAUACUCCUCUAGAUCCUCUCUCUCUUCACUUUCUUUCAGCUCAACUUACUCAUUUUAAUUUUUGCACAGAUUUCUACCAAACUCAACAAGUCCCCAUCACUUUUCUUGGCAGUUCUCUCCUUCAUAUUCCAAGACUAUGUUUUCCUCAUUUUAAUUUCCUCUAGGACACUUUUCUGUAACAUUUUCUCAUAUGCUCUUUUAUCUUUGAAGGCCUCCUCUAUUUCUCUACAUUCCUUCUAGUUCAACUUUUCACUAGCUACUAUUGUACUAAUUUCAUCUACCAACAUUCCUACCAAACUCCCAUCUACUUCUUAUUUUCAUCUUAACUUCCACUGCAUAACUUAACCUAUCAAGCAUCCCUUUCACUGCCCUGGCAAUGAACAUUUCUUUUAAUUUCCCAUUCACUGCUACAUGGUCCAUCAGGCUCCUCUGGUUAUCACUCUCAUCUCUCCUCCAUGAAUACCUGUGGAUCAUUUUUAUGCUGGAAGAAGGGGUUAGUAAGAAACAGUCCUCUUUCUGCACAUAAGCUCACCAAGUACUUCCCAUUCUCACUUAAUCCAUCUAUUCCCCAUUUCCCUACUACAGUCCUGUAGCCACAUACUCAAAAUAUCUACAGGCAUCUUAUUACUGUUUUGUGAAAAGGUGCAUACUCAAAAGCUCCACUGAGUGCUGCCCUUUAAAAAAAUGGCAGUAUUAGCACCUUGGCAGAACAGCAAGACUGAAGCGCCCUCUAGGAAGAAAAGGCACCUUUGGAACCUUAGAGUGCUCUGUUCCUGGCUCAUAUCUAGAUGAAAUACUACCUUAUUACUUGCUUUAGAAUGAAAUGGUUUGCAUCAAAUUUAAUUACUGGACCACAAGGCCACUAGCCAUACUUGAAAAUAUAAAGUAAAUAUGAUUUCUAAGACAAACAGUAAAUGUAGAACCUUUGGUGCUUCUUGGACAGACAUAAAGUCUGAACAUGAGAAUAUAAACACACAUAUUUAUGUGAGGUGUGAUUAUUGUUUUGCUAAAUAUACAACAUUAUUUUGUACAGAAAUAGUUUAUUUAUACUGGAUCAGUUACUCCAAUGGCCAGUGUACUCUAAAAUUCAGCUUACAAUACCCUAAUAUGUAGAGUUACAACUUGAUAAGUUAAGUGUUAUACAUUUAUUUACACACCAAGUGUAACUAGUCACAAUGGUUAAUAAAUGAACACAAUGAUCUGUAAAGUAAGGCCUGCUGAACAUAGGUUAGCUGUGUUACCAUGCUGCACAUUUAAGAUCCGUAUAAUGGUAUCGGUAUCACUACAACCCCUACAAACUAUCAGUGUGUGACACCAAAUUCCCAGCUGACAACCAAC